rnacentral:rRNA from 1 species
AGUGAACGCUGGCGGUAGGCCUAACACAUGCAAGUCGAACGGCAGCACAGUAAGAGCUUGCUCUUACGGGUGGCGAGUGGCGGACGGGUGAGGAAUACAUCGGAAUCUACUUUUUCGUGGGGGAUAACGUAGGGAAACUUACGCUACUACCUCAUACGACCUACGGGUGAAUGCAGGGGAUCUUCGGACCUUGCGCGUUUGUAUGAGCCGAUGUCGGAUUAGCUAGUUGGCGGGGUAAAGGCCCACCAAGGCGACGAUCCGUAGCUGGUCUGAGAGGAUGAUCAGCCACACUGGAACUGAGACACGGUCCAGACUCCUACGGGAGGCAGCAGUGGGGAAUAUUGGACAAUGGGCGCAAGCCUGAUCCAGCCAUACCGCGUGGGUGAAGAAGGCCUUCGGGUUGUAAAGCCCUUUUGUUGGGAAAGAAAAGCAGCAGGUUAAUACCCCGCUGUUCUGACGGUACCCAAAGAAUAAGCACCGGCUAACUUCGUG